AACGAACGCUGGCGGCAGGCUUAACACAUGCAAGUCGAACGCUCCGCAAGGAGAGUGGCAGACGGGUGAGUAACGCGUGGGAAUCUACCCAGAUCUACGGAACAACAGUUGGAAACGACUGCUAAUACCGUAUACGCCCUACGGGGGAAAGAUUUAUCGGAUUUGGAUGAGCCCGCGUAAGAUUAGCUAGUUGGUGAGGU
rnacentral:rRNA from 1 species